GGGCUCACACAAGCGGUGGAGGAUGUGGCUUAAUUCGAGGCUACGCGAAGAACCUUAUCCUAGUCUUGACAUGCUUAAGAACCUGACUGAAAGGUUGGGGUGCCCUUCGGGGAGCUUUUGCACAGGUGCUGCAUGGCUGUCGUCAGCUCGUGUCGUGAGAUGUCGGGUUAAGUCCCUUAACGAGCGAAACCCUUAUCUCUAGUUGCCAGCGGGUCAUGCCGGGGACUCUAGAGAGACUGCCGGUGUUAAACCGGAGGAAGGUGGGGAUGACGUCAAGUCCUCAUGGCCUUUAUGAUUAGGGCUGCACACGUCCUACAAUGCAACAUACAAAGGGACGCAAGCUCGUGAGAGUUAGCAAAUCCCAAAAAGUGUUGCUCAGUUCGGAUUGCAGGCUGCAACUCGCCUGCAUGAAGCUGGAAUCGCUAGUAAUCGCGGGUCAGCAUACCGCGGUGAAUGUGUUCCUGAGCCUU
rnacentral:rRNA from 1 species